rnacentral:rRNA from 1 species
GACGAACGCUGGCGGCGUGCCUAAUACAUGCAAGUAGAACGCAGUUGCGAACGGGUGAGUAACGCGUAGGUAACUGCCUCAUAGCGGGGGAUAACUUUUGGGAACGAUAGCUAAUACCGCAUACUGUGAGAUGGACCUGCGUUGUAUUUGCUUGUUGGGGAGGUAAAUGCGAAACAAGGCGACGAUACAUUGCCGACCUGAGAGGGGGGUGGGCCAAAAAGGGAAUGAGUAACGGGCCAAAACCCUUAGGUGGGGAAGCGUAGGGAAUUAUCGGCAAUGGACGGAAGUCUGACCGAGCAACGCCGCGGUAGUGAAGAAGGUGUUCGGAGCGUAAAGCUCUGUUGAUAGAGAAGCGGUAACUAACCAGAAAGGGACGGCUAACUACGUGCCAGCAGCCGCGGUAAUAC